CGCAGCCGCGGUAAUUCCAGCUCCAAUAGCGUAUAUUAAAGUUGUUGCAGUUAAAAAGCUCGUAGUUGAAUUUCGGGAUCAAUAUAUCGGUCAUGCUUAGGUAUGUACUGGUAUUAUUGAUUUCUCCCUUCUGAAGAACCAUGAUGUCAUUAAUUUGGUGUCGUGGGGAAUCAGGACUGUUACUUUAGAAAAAAUUAGAGUGUUUAAAGCAGGCAUACGCUUGAAUACAUUAGCAUGGAAUAAUGAAAUAGGACGUUUGAUUCUAUUUUGUUGGUUUCUAGGAUCGACGUAAUGAUUAAUAGGGAUAGUUGGGGGCAUUAGUAUUCAAUUGUCAGAGGUGAAAUUCUUGGAUUUAUUGAAGACUAACUACUGCGAAAGCAUUUGCCAAGGAUGUUUUCGUUAAUCAAGGACGAAAGUUAGGGGAUCGAAGACGAUCAGAUACCGUCGUAGUCUUAACCAUAAACUAUGCCGA
rnacentral:rRNA from 1 species